AACGAACGCUGGCGGCAUGCCUAACACGUGCAAGUCGAACGAGUCCUUCGGGUCUAGUGGCGCACGGGUGCGUAACGCGUGGGAACCUGCCCUUAGGUUCGGAAUAACUCCCCGAAAGGGGUGCUAAUACCGGAUAAUGUCUUCGGACCAAAGAUUUAUCGCCUUUGGAUGGGCCCGCGUUGGAUUAGCUAGUUGGUAGGGUAAAAGCCUACCAAGGCGACGAUCCAUAGCUGGUCUGAGAGGAUGAUCAGCCACACUGGGACUGAGACACGGCCCAGACUCCUACGGGAGGCAGCAGUGGGGAAUAUUGGACAAUGGGCGAAAGCCUGAUCCAGCAAUGCCGCGUGAGUGAUGAAGGCCUUAGGGUUGUAAAGCUCUUUUACCCGGGAUGAUAAUGACAGUACCGGGAGAAUAAGCUCCGGCUAACUCCGUG
rnacentral:rRNA from 1 species